rnacentral:tRNA from 1 species
UUUUUAUUAGCUCAUGAUAGGCUUUGGAGAGCACACGGCUGAAGACCGUGGUGUCGCGGGUUCAAACCCCGCCAGCCUCA